UAUGUAGGGUGCAAGCGUUGUCCGGAAUUAUUGGGCGUAAAGAGCUCGUAGGCGGUUUGUCGCGUCGGCUGUGAAAUCCCGAGGCUCAACCUCGGGCCUGCAGUCGAUACGGGCAAACUAGAGUGUGGUAGGGGAGACUGGAAUUCCUGGUGUAGCGGUGAAAUGCGCAGAUAUCAGGAGGAACACCGGCGGCGAAGGCGGGUCUCUGGGCCAUAACUGACGCUGAGGAGCGAAAGCGUGGGGAGCGAACGGG
rnacentral:rRNA from 1 species